UCGCCUCAGCAGCCGUACCCUACAAAAUUCAAGCCCUACAGAAAAGACUAGUGUGGCCCCUGUGCAAAGAUAACAUGCAAAUUCAUGAAACAUGUCCUAGUUUU